CUAGCAUCCCACGUAGCACAUAGAAGUUAACUGUCUGUCUUUAGUGAAUUACUUCAGGAGUGUGUGUGUGUGUUUGUGUCUGUGUAGUGAAUGACUCCACUUACUGUUCAAACACAGACGCCCAGAGUUUACUGGAGCAGUGUCUGUGGUUGGACGCCUCAUGGGUGAGACACAUAUAAUACACAGAUACAGACACUCCACAAAAUAUGACUUAUUUGACAACCAUUCUAAUUACAAUUCAAUAAAGAAUGCAACUGUCUAGGAAACAUGGCAGCUGAUGGAAUCCUACAUCUUUAAACAGGAUUAGCUUAUCUUUAUCGCUGAACAACCUCAGAUUCACCUACAGGUUUGCUGAUCCUGUUUGACCUGCUGACCAAUCAGAAGACCAGAUCAGGAGAGGCAGACAGAGAUGAGGGGUGUAACCGUGACCACUUCCCUCUGAUCUGUGAUGCAUUGGAGCAGGCUCUGUGCAGAAUGGGUCUCCAGGAGCAUCUGGCUACACUACAGAGCGUGGACCUAGACCUUGACUCACUGGUUAUGGCGAAGGUGACCACAGAUGGUGUCUUGAUGCACGGAAGGGAUAAUUCGUCCGAGAACAGUGUGAGCCUCACCCCCUCUAACCGGCUGAAGUAAUGACUACAAUGGCGUUCACUAUGGCCCUGUCCUUCCUGAGUCCGAGCCAGCAACCUGUGCACAGCGUCCAGUCGAAGCUAUCAACUGCCUUUUAUCUCAGGAGUGCGGCAUGUGUCCACGUAGAGUGAGCAUGGAGAGAGAUCCCGUCCAAACUUCUCAUGCUGCUGGUGUACUGGUCAGAAAAAGGACAAGACAUAAUGAACCGUAAAGGAUAGUGGUGGCUCAGGUGAGCGAAAUCAGGACAUUAUCAAGGUCCAUCCACUUUGAACAUGUGCCAUUGGACAAACUGAAACACUAUCUGAAGAAGAAAUGCCAGAAGAAUGAAUGCCGGGAAGGAGGAGGGGGGUGGUCAGCCGUGCCCGUAAUUGAUUGGGGUAUCAGUUUGAUCUGUCAUUAACAUGCCACUCGCAACAAAAGCUCCAGCUGAAAUGUCAUUGCCAGAAUCCAUUACUGAAAUUGUGUAAUGACGCAUAUGUGUAACUGUAUGAAGGGAAGGUCUUAAGUUAAAAGAUUCUACUGCAAUGGUUUUACAAGUAAGGGCUAUGGAAGGAGGAUCAGUUUCUCGUUGGAUUAUACAACCUGGAAUGAAGGGUUUGAAAGUCUUUGGUUUCAUGCAUUGAUUUUGUUUACUUAUGAUAGAACCUCCUUUGAUUGUUUAAGCAAUAACCAAAUGAAUACAAUUGAACCUUUUCACACGUAUGUGAUCAUUCUACAGUGGUCCCUGUAGUGUACGAUCAAACCGGUGUGAUUAGAACACUUAUUUAGAAUGGUCAGUAUUGAAUGACGCAACAAUCAGCAUUUGAGCUGGCCACAGUUUUCAGAAACAUUUUGCACAAACACAGUCCUUAAAGUUAUGUUCAGAAUGUGAGCAGUUUAUUUUUGGAUGCAAUGUUCAGACAUUCACAGAAGUAUCUACAGUAUAACACAAUCAUCGAAACCGGAAAAAUGUAGGCUACAGUUGUCCUAGCGCUAACUGAGGAAAGACUGACGUAACAGGGUAGUUUCUGCGCGCUGCCAUGCCCCCCCCCUCACAGAAACCAAAGAUAAGACGAGUUUGGUCACGUGAAUAAAACAUGGGAGUCAUAAGGCCAGGUUAGCUUAAAAAAAAACACAAGCUGGGUCCAGGGGCAGGCAGAAGGU